UGAGAGAACCCUGCUUGAGGAACUCGCAAAAUGACACCGUAACUUCGGGAGAAGGUGUGCCCUCAUUACGAGAACCGCGCACGCGGGGAGCGGAAGGGGGUUGCAGAGAAUCGGGGGUAGCGACUGUUUAACAAAAACACAGCACUCUGCGAAGUCGCAAGACGACGUAUAGGGUGUGAUGCCUGCCCGGUGCUGGAAGGUUAAAGAGAGAACUCAGCCGCAAGGCAAAGGUUCGAACUGAAGCCCCAGUAAACGGCGGCCGUAACGAUAACGGUCCUAAGGUAGCGAAAUUCCUUGUCGGGUAAGUUCCGACCUGCACGAAUGGCAUAACGACUUCCCCACUGUCUCGAGCAUGGACUCAGCGAAGUAGCACUAGGGGUGAAGAUACCCUUUACCCACGGCAGGACGGAAAGACCCCGUGAACCUUCACUACAGCUUGACAUUGUUUGACGGAAGAUUUUGCGUAGGAUAGGUGGGAGGCUUUGAAGUCGGGAUUCUGGUCUCGAUGGAGCCAACGUUGAAAUACCACCCUGAAUGUUCUGGCAAACUAACCUGCACCCGUGAGCCGGGUGGGGGACACUGUCUGGUGGGUAGUUUGACUGGGGCGGUCGCCUCCCAAAAAGUAACGGAGGCGCGCGAAGUUCCCCUCAGCGUGAUUGGAAACCACGCGUUGAGUGUAAACACAUAAGGGGGAUUGACUGCGAGUCCGACGAGACGAGCAGGUACGAAAGUAGGUGUUAGUGAUCCGGUGGCUCCACAUGGAAGGGCCAUCGCUCAACGGAUAAAAGGUACUCCGGGGAUAACAGGCUUAUCACGUCCAAGAGUUCACAUCGACGACGUGGUUUGGCACCUCGAUGUCGGCUCAUCGCAUCCUGGGGCUGAAAUCGGUCCCAAGGGUUUAGCUGUUCGCUAAUUAAAGCGGUACGCGAGCUGGGUUCAGAACGUCGUGAGACAGUUCGGUCCCUAUCCGUCGUGGGCGCAGGAUACUUGAGAGGAGCUGACUUUAGUACGAGAGGACCGAGUUGGACGAACCGAUGGUGUUCCGGUUGUCACGCCAGUGGCAUCGCCGGGUAGCUAUGUUCGGACGGGAUAACCGCUGAAAGCGUCUAAGCGGGAAGCCCCCCUCGAGAUUAGGUAUCCCGAGUCGCAAGGCUCCUGAAGACCCCACGUAGACUACGUGGUUGAUAGGCGGGAUGUGGAAGUGCAGCAAUGCAUGGAGCUUACCCGUACUAAUCGGUCGUGCGGCUUGACCAC
rnacentral:rRNA from 1 species